GACGAACCGUGCGAACGUUAUUCGGAAUCACUGGGCUUAAAGCGCGUGUAGGCGGGACGGCACGUCGGUCGCUGAAAGCCCCCGGCUCAACCGGGGAACGGGCGCCGAUACGACCGUCCUGGAGGGACGUAGGGACCUGGAACAUCCGGUGGAGCGGUGAAAUGCGUUGAGAUCGGAUGGAACGCCCGUGGCGAAAGCGAGGUCCUGGACGUUUCUGACGCUGAGACGCGAAAGCCAGGGAGCGAACGGG
rnacentral:rRNA from 1 species